UGCAUGGUUGUCGUCAGCUCGUGUCGUGAGAUGUUGGGUUAAGUCCCGCAACGAGCGCAACCCUUGCUGAUAAUUACUAACGCGUGAUGGCGAGGACUUUAUUGGGACUGCCGGGGACAACUCGGAGGAAGGUGGGGACGACGUCAAAUCAUCAUGCCCCUUAUGACCUGGGCUACACACGUGCUACAAUGGCCGAGACAGAGAGAAGCGAGGGCGCAAGCCGGAGCGGAUCUGCCAAAAGCGGUCACAGUUCAGAUUGUGGGCUGCAACCCGCCCACAUGAAGCAGGAGUUGCUAGUAAUCGCGGAUCAGCAUGCCGCGGUGAGUACGUUCCCGGGCCUU
rnacentral:rRNA from 1 species